GGCUAUAACUUCUUCGUUCGAUGUUAGAUUUUGGUGAAAUUGGUAUCGAUGGAAAGCUUAUUCAAUGAUCUACAUGACAAAAAGUGGAAAUUAGAUAAAUACAACAUGGUUUAAACAUCAAUCACUUUAAAAGUCAUACAUAUCCAUUCAAAAAGACAGAUUUAGUCUUAAGGAAUGAUCGGGGUAUUACAGCAACUCUUCCUUCUCCCCCAAAAUAUUCUUAGAGGCAAGAACACCUAGUGUUCUAGAUUAAAGUCCCAAAUUCAAACUUUAUUCAUCAAAAAGGAAUGUUGACCACUUCCUGCUUCUAUUAUUAUCAUAAAGUAUGAAUUUUAACAAUUUUUGUGUAUGAUUAAAUUAGUGAUUUGAAAAUAAGGUUGAGAGGAUUCUCUUGAAAAACUUUAUAUUGAUAUCUAUUAUUGUUUUGGGGGUUUUCUAAGCACUAUUAAUGGGUUUUGAGAUGUAAUAUGUUCUAUAAAAAUGGUAAACUUGUUAACAUGGAUUUACACCUUGUAAGAAUUUUACAAGAUGAAAAUAUAGUUCUCAACCUACUUCAAAACUUGGUUUUCUUCAUGAGAAUUAUGAUUUCUUCACACUGUCUUUUGAAUAAGGUAUGAGAUGAAAGAAUUAAAGGCUAAAUGACACUUUAAAAAUGCUUGGAAUUUUUAUUUAUGAAUUUUAAAGAUGAAUUUGAGAGUUUAAAACAUUAUAUGAAAAUAUUAUAGCAUAAUAUGAAUUGCUUGCAAGUCUUGGUAUGACAAUACCAAUUUGGGAAUACCUUAAUGAAAGACUCCAUGGAUUAAUGAUUAUGAAAAUGUUUUAGCUGGGUAUAAAAGGUAAUUGUGUAGCUUCACCUUGAAGGUGUAUUCCUUAUUACUAACACUUGAAACCUUAUUUGCCGAUGUUGGAAGGUCUUGUCCUGAGCAGAGGAUGAUCAUUGUACGCUUGCUUUGCGUAGUAGUAUACAGUUAUGUUUAUGAUGGCUAUUAAUUGUUGGUGUCUUUAGCCUAAUCUUAGUCCAUGCGGCUAACAUAGUUUGAGGCUCUCUGUUAUGGAGUACCGGAUCCAUAUAGCCCAGGGUUACAAGAUGGUAGUGAAAAGCUACAUAGUUCAGGACUAAAUUUUGCGUGAUCAUGUCUUGAUGUUCCUUGUCCAAUGUCCCAUACUUUAGUAUUUUCAUUGAUGAUGAUAAUAAGCUUUAUGACUAGUUUUAUAAAUAAAUGUUUUAUCCCUUUUCCAAGGUUGUAAGCCAAUAUUCGCCUUACUGACUGUCCCCAGACGUUGCAUCAUUCCAUGAUGUAGGUUCGGAGGAAUUUUUUCAUUGUUUGUUGUAGCAUUAGGGAACUCAUAGUCUCUCUUGGACAGUUGGUGAUAAAUGGUGAGCCCUCCAUCAUCCGGAAGGCGAUUGUUCAUUUCUCUUAUGUUUUCAUUCUAUCAUUUUAAGAUUUUUUUAUGGCAUAGUUGGAGUCUUGUCCCAACAUAGGAGUAUUCUUAAAGUUAGAGGCUUCGUAGGUAGUGUUGGAUAAUUGUUUGAAUUGGAUUUUUAAGAUAUGAAUGUUUCUUUAUUUAAAUGUUGAACUUUUUUAAUGGUCUUGUUUCGGCAACUUUAAAUAUGACUAUGCUUGUGAUAUAAUGCUAAAGAAUCAUCUCAGGCCUUCAUUGGUUUGGGAUUCCCGUCACAGCCAAAGCCCCGAUUUAGAACGAGACAAUAUGUGAUGAAUUUACUAGUGUUAAUUCUUUGUCUAACCAGUGAGCAGAAGUGGGAAAGACAUUGGUGCAUUGUGAGAAUGGGCAUAGAGUUAGCUCGAGACAUUAGUUUUAAAUAAUUUUUCAAAAAGAGAUGUAGAAAAGGAGCCCCAUUUUUAUUACGAAUGGUGGGGCUCCCAAUUAGGGAUGUCCAAAUGAUGGUUAAUGUAGGUGGAUAGAAAUACAAUACAAAGUAUGAAAAUGUACGGGGACAUGAGAUCACCUCAACAGAUACCUCAAUUAGGGGAGAAGAAGUUAGUUGUAGAGUCAUAAUUAAUAAAAAUAGCUAUACUGCUUGUGCUAAUGUAAUUUAUAAUUAGUUUUUUUUAUUUUAGGAGCGAAUUCAAAGUAAGAUAGGGUGUGGUGGACAAAAGACAAUAUUCGAUUUGAUCAAAGACUUUUUUAAAAUUUAUUUUCAUCAUGACACUACCUUUCUUACUCUUAGUGUAUUAACAUAAUUGUAGAUUUCUUGAUUUGGGAUAACGUUAUCACUAGCUCUUUUAACCUUGAGGAAACUAGUCUGGUAAGGUCGAUAAGCUUGGUUAAAUAAAGUUUGAUACAAUUAACAAUAAAUUUUUUGAUGACCUCAUAAAUGGUGUUACACAAACCAAAUAGGUCUCAUUUUGUUUCCCUCAAUGUUUCUUUUUGUUUAUCAAUUGAUCAAUUUUAUCACUGACUACACAUAAUUUAUUUACGUAAAUAAUCUCAUCUCACAGCAACUGCUUUCUCACAGCAGUUACAUUAUCACAUUAUGUCUCAAAUGCUUUUAUUUGAUUUUGCCACAAUUUUUUUUUUUGUUUCCAUAACUAAUGUUGCUUCAUAACUACAAAAUAUACAGACACAUAAAUUUUAUUACAACUCCAGUGCUCACCAAGAGAUCUUUUAACUACUUAGCCUCAUCAUUAACAAACAAAACAAUAAAUUAUGUUUGACUAGUUUUAAUUUUAUAACCCCGCAAUGGCUAAUCAUAUAAUAACCCAUGAACUUUGUCUUAUUUAAAUCAAAGAUUUAAUUAGCAUCACUACUAAAAUGAGAAGUCCACUAAAUUCAAUACCAAUGUUAUCACCAUUAGAAAAGUAAAAUACAUCAUUAUUUUUUCUUCAUAAACGUUGCAUUCAGUCACAUCACUAUUAAAUAUCAUGAAUCUAUAUAUAUAUAUAUAAUAAUUUGAAAUAUUUUAAAAUAGGAGAUAAUUUUUUCGUAACUCGAAAAAUAUUACCAAUUUCUCUUAAGAAAUAUCAUCUUAGAAAUAACAAGCUAAUAAUAAUAUAACUUCACCCAAAAUAUUAUUUGUCACACAAACAAGUAGGCAAUUUAUCAUUUAUCAAGAUCUCAAACUACUAUGUCAUCAAUAAUAAAUAUGUAGAAACCUCAUCUUAUUUCUCAAUAGAACUACUUUUGUAUAUGCAUUUAUAGAGAGAAAUCGUCUUAAAAUAUGACAUAGUAAAAUUCGUCAUCUCUAAUAAAAAACUGAGAACAUUUUAAACUCUAAAUUAUAAUAAAGACCAAAUUAAAGACUCUUAAACAAACCAACAGUAUCUCCUACAAUUACAAAUGUUAGGAAAGAUUUUCACAAUUUGAGUUCGAUGACAUUCUCAAAAGUUAACAAUAGAAAUGAAUUCAAACAUAAUUAAUAUUUCAAAGAUUCAUUAAUAGGUUUAUUAUCACCUUAUAUAAAACUUCAACAAAAAUAUUCAUUACAUCUUAUCUCAUAGUUCUAUAAGAGUCAAAUUACCACAAAUAUUUAAAUCAUGUAUCACUUCAGUUAAUGUCAAUGUUUUUCAUAUGAUAAUUUAAUAAGAAGAAAAUAGAACUUGGGUGGUAUUAGAAUCUCCAACAUAAAUAAAUUAUUCUUCUUCUUAAAUUUGGAUGUGUAGAGCUGUAGAGCACAAAGUAAUUUUACUUAGUACAAAUGUGUCCAACAACAACAAAAGUCUAACACCAAUCUCUCACAUUGACCCCAAGAUUCAUUUGAGAAAUGAUCACAAAAAUUUAUAUAAUUCAUUUACUCCAAUUUUUUUUUUCUCUUAGUGGGAUUAACUUUUCUCCGGAUUCUCCUCUACUUUAAGGGGUAUGCUGGCUCAAUUUGCCACAAGUUGGUUUUGGACUUAUAAUAAUAUCUCUCAAUUAAAAAAGAAAAAAGGACAUGAACUGACCCCUUUUUAAAAUAAUUGAUCAUGUUUGGGUUGUGGGACAUUCAUGGUCAGUCGGCCUAAACAAAUUUCAUAUCAUGAUCAUGUCAUAAUUUGUCAUUUUAACUCAGAUAGUUCAGAUACAUUUCAUAUAGCAUAUUGAUACAAUCUAUAUACCAUACUAUUAUAGUUCGUAAAAAAAUAGAGUUGUGAAUUUAUGGGUGAAAAUUAUUUCAUUAUUAUAUAGAAUAUGAAUUUUUUAAUAUAAUGUACAUAAAAUUUAUAUUAUUAUUGUGUUUGUGUGUAUGAUAUGCAUACAUACAUAUGUGUGUGUUAUAAGAUGCAUAUACAAAUUGUAUCUUUAUUAUGUAGAAUACAUAUCUAUAUAUAAUGUCUAUCAAAUUUGUAUCAGUAUAAUAUAAAGCUGGUGCAAAUGGCUAGAAAAUGAAAUUAAAAUUCAGUCGUUAUUUUCUCAUUAAUAAUUUCAUUUGAAGUGUUAUUCCCCAUAAAAAAAUAUAGAUAUGUGUGUGUAUUGUCCACACUUACACUAAAUGGUAGAAGAAAAAUGUGUAUUUAUAAUCAAACGAACUGUCAAAAUCAUUAAUGUAGUCACAUAAUAGAAGACAUUUUAGUCAAUUUAAUUGGAUUGAAUAAAAAAAAAUACCACAAAACUCCCUCAAUAGAUUAUAACAAGUUAAUGGUUAUAAAGAGACAAAAGUAAUAGGUAAUUAUGAAAAAUAAAGGGUAUGUUACAGUAGUAAUUGUCGAUCGUAAAAAAAUAAUAAUUCUUUUGGAGAUAUCAAAAUUAUGUGUCAACACGGAGAGGGAUAGCGAAAAAGUAUUGAGGUAAGAUGAUUAAAUAGGACAUGGCGUAUAUUCAGGUUGACCUUAUAUAGGGGAUCUGGAGAACACAUAUUAGAGUAGAAGGUUAGUCGGGUAGGAAUGUUGGCAUGCACCAUAGUAUGUUUGCUUAGGGUUUAGCAGUAGAUAUCUAUCAUUGUUAUUUCUUAUUGUGUAUCAAUUAUCAUAUUAUUUUGUGAUCGAAUAUUAUUUUCCUGGUAGAUUUUAGAUUGUUUCCUGGUUAGUUGUUAUAUUUUCUUUACUGUUUUUCUCUUUUUUGUAUUUUGCUACACUUGAGCUCAAUUACUUUCGAAAAUAACCUCUCUACUUCAUCGUAGUAGUGGUAAAAUUUGUGUACACUUUAUCCUCCUCAUACCUCAGUUAUAAAAUGUUAUUAGAUAUGUUAUUGUUAUUAUUUUUAGUUGCCAGAAAAAUAAAAUAUUUUUCUGAUAAAAAUGAAUUAUAAAUUAAUAUGAUUCUAGGGACACAUAUUUGACUUCCACCUUAAAUUUAACUUGUUUUAUAAAUUUGCACAUCAAAGGUGAUUUAUGAUAUGACAUGUCAUUCAACAUAUUAAAUUAAUAUAACCUGGAUUUUAAGUUUUAGAAAUUAAUUAAGAACCAUCUUGAUCUUCUGGAUCUAGCUAAGGCAUUAAUAAAAUUUAAAAUAUAUAUGAUGAAAAUUUUUUUCAUUUAUCCUUGCUUAGACACUAAGGGCUUGUUUGGUAUGAGAUGAGAGAUAAGAGAUAAUUAAUUUUGUGAUUAUUUUUAGAAUGAGUUUAUCCUAUGUUUAGUUGGGAUAAAAUAUAUUGAUAUAUAACUCAUUCCAAAAUUAAUUACUCCGGGAUCGUAGUGUUAUUUUUAUCCCAUGCAUUUUGAGGAUCUAAUACUCCCUCCGUUUCAUUUUAGUUGACCCUCUUUCUAAAAAUAUUUCUUUCAGUUUAGUUGUCCCAUUGAUGAAAUCAAGAGGAUUUUAAUAUAUUCUUCCAAUAAUACUCUUAUCAUUAAAUGACUAAACAAGUUAUAUAUAUUUAAAUUUGUAUUUUCAAAGCAUAAUUAAUAAGGCUUAUUUAGUAAAAUAGACCCCUAACAAAUAUUCUUCUUAAUGAGAGUGUCAAGUCUAUAGGUACCAACUAAUAUGAAACGGAAAAAGUAAUUAAUUUCGAAUUAGCUAAUACUUGAACAAUUUUUAAAAUAACUUGUUUCCAACUAAACCAGCCUUUUAAGUGUAAAAUGUUAAUUAGUUUGACUUAUAUAGAUCAUGUAAGUAGAAUUUAAAGAAAUCAUUAAUAAAGAAUUGAUUGACCAACUUUUUUUUAUUAUAGAGUUAUUAUUCUGAAAUUUGAAGUCAUGAAAAGUCCUACCUAUAAGUUCAUAUUUUUGCUGACAUAAACUAAUAUUAUUCAUGGAAUUGUCAAAUAUUUUGGGAUUAUCAUUUUGUACUGAUACAAAAACAUUGAAAGUUUUCAUCAGUCUCAGUUUUAUCUUAAGAUUUAAAUAAGGUUAAUUUUUAAAUGAGAAUGUCUACCUUGAAAAACAUUUGGCUCGCAUGUAAACAGUCUUUGCACUCGAGAGUCAAUCUUCGUCCGAUCCGAGAAAACUUUUACACGCCUCUGUUACCUUUUAGAAGGUGUCGUAAGAAGGUAGUCGUAUUAGAAGGAUCACAAAUUAAAAAAAAAAAAAAAAUCAUCAAAUGAGACUAAAUAAGGUAGGGCAGGCGGGGCAAAUUUUCAAAAACAACUAGACGGGGAAGGGCUGGGUGGGUCAAAAUAUUAUUGGGUCAAGGGUUACCCGCCCCAACCUGUUCCAUUGCCAUCCCCCUCUCUUACUAAAAAACAGAUGAGGUAAAUGUGGAAUAUACCUCCUAUGAUAGACAAAAGAGUAGAUGUUAUUUCUCAUUUUGUGUAUACUCACUUUAUACAACUACAAUACACUUCCUAUGUUAGAUCUAACCAUAAAAAAUAUACAAAGCAUAGACUAUAUUUUGGCUGGUCAAGAAAAAUGUCAUCCUUCCUGCUGCUCCCAAUUUUAGUGCCUGAAGGUACCAUUUAUCCAUAUUGAUAAUGCCCUCAAUAGAUUGAGGAAGCCUACUAUAUUGAAGAAGGACUGUAUUUGGUUCAUCUCAUCGCUAAGGAAUGUGGACUUCUUGGUUGUUUCUUUGGCUUCCCUAUACCAAUGCUUCAAUGAGAACUUUAUUGCUCAGCUUCUCAUUAAUAGAUUGAACCUUUUUAUUGAUUUUUCAAGGGGUACUAUAAUUAUUAGUUACACAAUCCACUAAAAGUUGAGUCACUUUCAGCUUGCACAUGUUUCAUAUCAUAAGCUAGAUUCCCAUUUAUGCCAAAGAGCAAAGUGUUGGCCCCAUCCCUCCCCUCAAUAUCAAUAAAUAACAUGUGUUGGAAUAAUGGCAUUCCAGCCACAUCAGUUCCAUUCAUCAUAAAAAAAAUAACCUCUCUCAGUUUCAAAUUGCAAGCA
rnacentral:lncRNA from 1 species